rnacentral:rRNA from 1 species
AAACAUCGCCUCUUGCAAGAAUAAGAGGUCCCGCCUGCCCACUGACAACUAGUUCAACGGCCGCGGUAUUUUGACCGUGCGAAGGUAGCGUAAUCACUUGUCUUUUAAAUGAAGACCUGUAUGAAUGGCAACACGAGGGCUUGACUGUCUCCUUUUUCAAGUCAGUGAAAUUGAUCUUCCCGUGCAGAAGCGGGGAUAAAACCAUAAGACGAGAAGACCCUAUGGAGCUUUAGGCACUAAAACAGACCACGUUAAACACCCCUGCACAAAGGACUGAACUUAGUGUCCACUGUUUGACUGCCUUCGGUUGGGGCGACCCUGGGGAACUAAAUAACCCCCAUGUGGACUGGGAGUACUCCCAUAACCCAGAGUGACAACUCCAAGUAUCAGAACUUCUGACCAUUUUGAUCCGGCAAUGCCGAUUAACGAACCAAGUUACCCUAGGGAUAACAGCGCAAUCCCCUUUUAGAGCCCAUAUCGACAAGGGGGUUUACGACCUCGAUGUUGGAUCAGGACAUCCUAAUGGUGCAG